rnacentral:lncRNA from 1 species
GAUUUAGAUUCAGAUACUACAUGCAUCAUCCAUAAGUAAUCAAGAAAAUUUGGCCUUACCUCGUCUAUAUGACUAUGCAAUGUAAAUUUGAGUGUCCAGAGACAUUAUUUUGCAUGAAACAAAAGAAGCUUGACAAUUGUGCAAAUACAUAGUUCAACAGAAGAAAGAUUAAUUUAGCACUGCUCCUGCACAUGAACGAGUUUGCAAUGCAUGAUUUCACAAAUACAGUAAAAAAGUUUCUUUGAUUGGCUCUGCUCCUGCACACUGGCUAGCGCCAUCAGGGACUGCUCAAAACCCACCAUAGCACUUAUGGAGCAACUCCAUCACUGCAAAUGAAUGCAGUGCAAUGUACUGCCCAAGCUUCAAGAUUGAGGAGACGUCCAGUGUACAAGCACUGCCAGAUCGAAGCAUCAACGAAAUGCAGUGAUGGUGCGGCAUGCGGUCCCUUCCUCCUGUCUCCGCAGAUCAGUGGGGUGACACGUUGAUGUGGCUACUGAAUGCUCUGCACUGCAGUAGAGGAAAGGUUCCAAGAGCUCGCUAUGCCAGCAAGUGGCUAAACGCCUGGCAGCUGCACCAUCAUUUGGGAGUUGAGCAACGCAGUUCAUAGGGCGGACACGUUGUGCACACACAUUGCUUUUUGCCACUCAAAGUCGCUCAGCUCAGCCUGUUGCAGCAAUCACCGAGUCCUCUCCUCCUGACGUCUCUCAAGCCCCAAGCUUAUGGUGUCCGGUGGACUUCUGUAUACACAUAUAUGAAGGCUGCCGAAACUCUCGCUUUAGCUCAUUUGUUAUAUACACUUGCAUACAUAGGUAUGGUCCGGGUAGGAAAGAGAUAUCUGGGUGUUGGCUUAUAUAUAGACUGCAAUUGGAGUUAGGGUGGUUAUGGGUUGAUGGUGCGCUCUCUUGGCAGCAUUUACAGCUAGUUUAUUUGGUGCUCCAUGAGCUGAAACGCUGAAUGAGAUAAAUGUGAUUGUGAAUACGAUUAGCCCCUUUAAUAGACUCAAGCCUUGAUUUCCCUGAUUUAUAUCUCGAAAGGAGCAGAUAUAUGUCCCUAUACCUCAUAUGUAGCUGAUUAAUAAAACAGAUAUGUUCAAGCUCAACAGAAAGCGAUUGAUAUUAAUCAGAGUCUGAGCGAAAAAAAUUAUAUGCAUAUACAUGUAGAUCUCACAUAUAACUACCGGAGACACGCUCUAUGCUGAGUGUCAAACGCUUUGUCUAGUGUUUUAUAUCGGGC